CAAGAAGUUAUUUUUACAUGACCUUUCUCUUUCCUCUUUCCCCAAACUUUAAAAUUAUGUUUUUAAAAAAGUGAAAAACAAAAACAAAACAAGAAAAAAACCCGUGACAUCCAUCAGAUGCAGGUAUAAAAUGAGGAAGGGAUCUUUCAACUCUAAAACAACUAAGCCUGUCUAUGAAUAAACCUGCCAAGCCCCUAACACACAAAGGUUUAUAAAUAGAUUUCAGUAUGUACUGCCCUUAUUUGUUAUUUGUACAUAGAAUGUUUAUCAUAGAAAAUACUUGACAUAAAAAUGUUAAAUUUUGGUCACUGUUAUAGUAGAAGUCUUAUAAAAUAUUAUGAUACAUAUAUGCAGAGGUCACCUCUCACUGGAUCCUUAAUCUCAGCAUGUAACGUAAUCUUUCUGCACCAUCUGUUGUCUUAAUUAGAGCCCAGGAAAAGAAAAGACUUAUUCAUGUAAGCAGGAUUAUAUUUAUGACCUAGGAAAUAUUUGUGGGGUUUUUUUGUUCUAGUUUAUCAUUUUAAACAUAUUAUCACCUAAUACAAACUGCUGUGAUUGGAUAUUUACUUUGGUGCACAUGUUAAAGUGAGAUAGAGACAGACAGACAC